rnacentral:rRNA from 1 species
AACCGACCCGGGGACCGCCGGGGCAACCCGGCGCCCCCGAGACGGGGCGAACCACGGUGAAACUGACGGAUCGUCGGCCCCGCGCCGGCGACUCGCCGAAUGAGUUUCUGACCUAUCAACUCGAGACGGCGGGGUAGAGGCCCGCCGCGGUAACGACGGGUAACGGGGAAUCAGGGUUCGAUUCCGGAGAGGGAGCCCGAGAAACGGCUACCACUUCCAAGGAAGGCAGCAGGCGCGCAACUUACCCUAAUCUCGAUUCGAGGAGGUAGUGACAAGAAAUACCGAUGCGGGGACCCCUACGGGGUGCCGCGUUCGGAAUGAGUACGAUUCGAACCACCUAACGAGGAACGAUCGGAGGGCAAGUCUGGUGCCAGCAGCCGCGGUAAUUCCAGCUCCAAUAGCGUACGUUAAAGUUGCUGCAGUUAAAAAGCUCGUAGUUGAACGUUCGGGUUCCGCGGGACGGGGCCGCCCCGCGAGGGACGGCGCCGCCCCGGGGCUCGUGAUAUCUCAUCUCGCCGCCCGUCGCGAGGCGGACGGAGGGAUGGAUGAGGUUACCUGGAAAAAAAUCGGGGG